UUAAGUUCAGCGGGUAGUCCUACCUGAUUUGAGGUCAAAUUUGUCAAAUGUUUGUUGUUAUAAGCGGUGCUGACCAGCAUUACCAAAGGCAUAGAUAGAUUUAUCACACCAAUAGCAGCUCAGAUCACCACUAAUGCAUUUCAGGGGAGCCAGCUUUCAUUAGAAAAGAAAGCCUGCAAAACCCCCACAUCCAAGCGCAC
rnacentral:misc_RNA from 1 species